AAGUUCUGAUGACACCAUCGAACAUCUUGAUUCGGAUUGAACCAAUCCCUGCAAUUUUAUAUGGUGCAUCAUCGCCCAUUAAAACAGAACCACCUUCGAUAGGUUGAUAGUUGAUAAACCGACUUCUCUUUUGGACUCAUGUGAAAAGUACACGCUGAGUCAAGAAUUCAUUCGUCAUUGGUUUUGGCACAUCCAGCAAAAGCUACAAGAACUUCUCCGUUUGAAUUUUCUUCAACAGCAUAGGCUGCUUUUCCUUCAUCAUCUUGACUUGGUUUUGAGUUGCUGGUGGAAGCUUUCUUCUCCUUGUUUUUCAGCUUAUAACAUUCAGAAAUUUCAUGGCCAUCCUUUUUGCAAUAUCUGCAAUAUUUUCGACUCCUAGACUUUGAUCUGCCUGUAGAAUUAUUUGAGUUCUUGCCAUUAAAGUCAGCAUUUGACUUCUUGUCUG
rnacentral:lncRNA from 1 species